CUCGCCUGCCGCCAUGUAAACGUUCUUUGCUCCUGCUUCGUCUUCUGCCGUGAUUGUGAGGCCUCCCCAGCCAUGUGGAACUACUCAUCACUCACUGCAGAUGUUACUUUAAGACAUUCUGGAGCAGCGUCAUGUGCAGGUGCGUAGUGCCUCCGCCCAUCUCUCUCUUGCUCCUGGUCUCAUCGUGACGGGCCUGGUCCUGCCUCACUUUAUGCCACGACUAAGAGCUCCCUGAGGCCUCUCCAGAAGCAGAUAUCACUAUGCUUCCUACACAGCCUGCAGAACCUUCUCUUGCCUGCCACCAUGUAAGAUAUGCUUUUACUCUUCCGCCUUCCACCGUGACUGUGAGGCCUCCCCAGCCAUGUGAAACUAGAUAAAUGAUCCAAUGAUUCGGAACUUGAAAAGUGGUAGCUUUAUGAAUUCUCCUUAAGAAGAAACCUGUGCCCUGAUCUUGCCUACUCACCCAAAGGCACUGUGAGAUAGCAUCAAAGGAACAGCUAGUAAGAGACACAGAGCCAGAAAUCAGGGAAGUAAAAUACACUUGACAUCUACGUUCGGAAAGAAAUUUUAGGAGGCAGAAGCAAAUGGAUCAGAAGCUGCUUAUAUUUUUGCAAGAUUACCAAAGAAACCAUUGGUGGAGAAAGUUCUGUGACCAACUUGUCUGAGUCUAGUAAGAUUGAACGCUCACACACAAGUUUCAUGAAGUGGGUUUGAUACUUACAGAUAAGCAGCAAGGACCAACAGAAGCUGAUGAUCUAUGGUGAACUUUUUCCCAAGGCUCCGGAAAGCUGCCUAAAGUAGAUGGAGUCUUCUCUGUGUGUGCCCCACUGGUCCUGCAGUUGAAGGAUCCGGUAAAGCAGCCUGCCCUUGGUUUUAUACUCCAGAGGAACGUGAUUCGCUGGACUAAAGCAUUGAAGUGCAUCCUGUUUCCGGGGGGCACUGGAACAGAGCCUGGUCUGUUCUAGCCAGUCCCUUUCUAUCUCAGGAUAACAUUCUACAGUUAUUCUUGAGAACUAUAAUCAAAUAAGCAGGGAGAACUGGGAAAGCAGAGGCUCAUUGUGGAACCCUCAAGGAGCAUGGGGUCGUCUUCAUCCCUCAGUUUAUAAAUGGCCAAGGAGAGUAAUGCAACAAAAACUUCUCAGAGUUAAAAGCCAGAGUUCCUAAAGAACCGUGGACAAAGGGUUCUGUCUAGUGGGCAGAAUUCAUCCAGCGAAGGUGCUUACUGCACUCCCAGCAUGUGCUUGGGAACUUUAUUAAAAUUCCUUCCUAUUGAGAUUUAAAUUGCUGUCCAGAAUUAUACAAUAUAAUGAAUGGGGGCAUUCAUUAUGUGUAUUCUAUGCCUUCUCCAUCAUUGCAUAUUCAGUCCUCGUGCUAGAGAGAGGCAGAUAAUCUACCUUUUAAAUUGAUAGGUCUCCUAACUACAGAGGGUCACAUCUGGAUCUGAUGGCACCUACAGAACUUGGACUCUGAGCGACAAUCAGUGACCAGGAAAUUUGGAACCCAGGUUUUCCCAACCUACAUCUACAAAAUGGAAUGGGUCUGAUUCGCAAGUUUUCAGAGAAAGAAGCCAACCUUAAUCAGACUGUGAUAUGAUGAGGAAAUAAAACUUGCUGUGCUAAUCAACUGAUACUGGGAAGCAUGUUUAUUAUAAUAACAUAGUCUAUGCUUAACUUUUCUAAGAAACUAAUGAUCUGGAAUAUCGAUAAAAAGAAAAAAGAAAGAAAGCAAAAGGACAGAAAGUUUUAGUGAGAAUAUGUCACUAAAAGAAAAAUGCAAAAAUCUCCAGGUAAUUGUUCUUGUCUGUCACUAUAAUCAAAGUGGUAUUUCACCCCCAUCUGUUGUCCCUGCUUUGAUGAGUGAGAAUAGAAGAGCAGUUCAUGGUUACAUGUUGGCAACAGGAGCAUAUAAAUAUCAAAUUGCCUUAAGCACUGGCAAAGGCUUAAGAGUCCAUCCUAAAUUGAGGGAUUAUCCAGUACCCUGUUUAGAAUGGAAAUAAAUCCUUGCACAGUACUUUCAACUCAAUAACUGAAAAAAUGCAGAGAGCAAAUUCAACAAUUUGUAUUACCAACAGCCAGCUGAGUCCAACUUCCUAAAUCCAUAGGAAAACAGAAAAGCAGAAAAGCAGAAAAACAGGCAUCAGUAACUGUCCUAAAAAGUGAAGGACUCAGGAGGCUGAGGCAGCAGAAUCACUUGAACCCAGGAGGCAGAGGUUGCAGUGAGCCGAGAUGGUGCCACUGCACUCCAGCCUGGGUGACAGAGCGAGACUGUCUCAAAAAAAAAAAAAAAUGUGAAGGACUGAGGGAAAGAAACAGAAUAGACCAUAAUGAGUCAGAUGCGAGAUAAGAGAAGCAGGGCCCGGAACAUAUGCCCUCAGAUAGAAUAAGAACAAUAUCAAAGAUGAAAAUCCAAGAAAACACCUUGAGGAAAAUAAGAUGAUAGUAAUACUAAAUAUAUAUGUUAAAGGACUAAUUUUAAUGAGAUACAUUCACAUAGGUAGGAAGAAAAAUAAAUUCAAUGUGCAG
rnacentral:lncRNA from 1 species